GAGUUUGAUCGUGGCUCAGAUUGAACGCUGGCGGCAUGCCUUACACAUGCAAGUCGAACGGCAGCACGGGAGCUUGCUCCUGGUGGCGAGUGGCGAACGGGUGAGUAAUGCAUCGGAACGUAUCCUGGAGUGGGGGAUAACGUAGCGAAAGUUACGCUAAUACCGCAUAUUCUGUGAGCAGGAAAGCGGGGGACCUUCGGGCCUCGCGCUCUUGGAGCGGCCGAUGUCGGAUUAGCUAGUUGGUGAGGUAAAGGCUCACCAAGGCGACGAUCCGUAGCAGGUCUGAGAGGAUGAUCUGCCACACUGGAACUGAGACACGGCCCAGACUCCUACGGGAGGCAGCAGUGGGAAUUUUGGACAAUGGGGGCAACCCUGAUCCAGCCAUGCCGCGUGAGUGAAGAAGGCCUCGGUUGUAAG
rnacentral:rRNA from 1 species